GACGAAACGCUGGCGGCGCGCCUAAACACAUGCAAGUCGAACGGAGCAUACGGGAGGAAGUUUUCGGAUGGAAUCCGGUAUUGCUUAGUGGCGGACGGGUGAGUAAACACGUGAGCAACCUGCCUAAUCAGAGGGGGGAUAAACGAUUGGAAACGAUCGCUAAAUACCGCAUAAACGCAGCGAGGAGGCAUCUUCAUGCUGCCAAAAGAAAUAUCGCUGAUAGAUGGGCUCGCGUCCGAUUAGAUAGUUGGUGAGGUAACGGCCACCAAGUCGACGAUCGGUAGCCGGACUGAGAGGUCGAACGGCCACAUUGGGACUGAGAC
rnacentral:rRNA from 1 species